rnacentral:lncRNA from 1 species
UUUUAUUUAUUUUUUUUUUUUGUGUGUCCAAGUUUGUCCCAUAUUUUUCUAUUCUUUCAUAGCCAUUACCUUUUUUUUUAUAUAUUAGUAUAUUCGAGUUUAUUUAUUUUAUUAUUUUAUUUCAUUAUUUUAUUAUUAUUUUUGCGUAUUUUUUAAAGUUUAUACAUUUUAGUUAACUUUUUAACUGUUUAAGUACGUAAAAAAAAAAAAAUAACAAAAAUAAACAUGUCUAAUGUAAAUCAUAAUAAACUAACAGAAGAAGAAAAUGCUGAAGAGAAAACGAAUAUUAUAAAAAAAUGUGAACUUGUUCCCGUAAUGUCUACCAAUAAAAGAAAGUUAGAAAAUGAUUAUUAUACAACAUAUAGUGAGAAUAAAAAAAAUUAUAAAAAAUGUAAUUGUAAUAAAAACAAUUUAACUAAUGAAAGUGUCCCUGUCCCCAUGUUCGAUUUAACUUAUUAUUAUGAAUGGAAUGACAUUCCUAGUAUUUAUAGCUUACCUUAUGGAUUAAUUAGCAAAGAUAAAAAUCUUGCAUUAAAAAAAUACAUGAAUAGUGCCAUCGAAAAAUUGACUGAUGAUAAGCUUAGAGCUGGUAAUAAUACAUUUAAAAAUGACACAAGCAUUAGGACUAACAAUAUAAUUAAUGAAAAUAAUUUUCCAAAACAAAAGGAAAUAUGCUCUAAUAAUCUUGAUGUGUGUUUUCAAAAAAAUAUAAAUAAUCAACUAAAAUUAAACCCAACAAUUUGUACAGCUAUAAAAUGUACAGCUACUAAUGAUAUCGAUAAUAGUAUUAACAGAAAUAUUGAUUCACUUAUUUCAUAUAUGAUUCAUGAGGAUAUUAUAGAACACGUAACAAAACUAAAGGAAAGAAAAGCUAAUCAAGUUGAUGUAAAAAAAAAGGUUCAACAAGAAAUAAAUGGUAUACCUAAAAAAUUGUGUAUUAUAAGUAAAGUAGAACAUACAAAAAAAGUUGAGUUAGCUCUUCAGAGUGUAGAACAAAAAGAGGGGAAAAAAAAGGAAGAAAAAGAGGAAGAAAAAGAGGAAGAAAAAGAGGAAGAAAAAGAGGAAAAAAAAGAGGAAGAAAAAAAGGAAGAAAAAGAGGAAAAAAAAGAGGAAAAAAAAGAGGAAAAAAAAGAGGAAAAAAAAGAGAAAAAAAAAGAGGAAAAAAAAGAGGAAAAAAAAAGUGAAAGCACAAAUUUGCAACAAACACAAAAUAAUUCAUACUGUAUGGAAAGAAGCACAAAAGACAACACUAGUAAAAAUAGUAAUAUGAUUAGCGACUAUAAUAGUAAUAACAUUGUUAUGCAGCGUAGAAAUAUUACCAGCAGUAGUAGUCGUAACAGCAUUAAUAGUGACGUUAGUAGUAAAACCACUGUAUGUUAUAGUAGCGACAAUGAUACUCCGAAUAUGUCGCUUGGAACUCACAAUGAAGUCCAUAUCGAAACAUCAAAUCAACCGAAUUGGACUUGCGAUUUUAUAUUUUUAACAAACAUUCAAAUAAUUGCUAAGAAUACACAAUACUUUCAAGAGUGGGAUGAAUUAGAAAUUAUACUACCAUAUAUAAUUGAUUUUAGUGGUAGUAUAAGAUCAAGUAUUUGUAAGAGUAGCUUUUUAACGAUUAAACAUAUAUGUAAUAGUAUAUCUAAUAAUAAAAAAAAAUUAUCAAAAUUGUUUAUGUAUAUUUUUCCACACAUUAUAAAAAGGUUAGAUAUUAAAAAUCAGUUUUUAAAUACAUGUGCUACUAACGCAAUUGAAGAAUUUAUGUAUCAUAGUAGUAACAUAAAUGACUACGAAAUGCUUAAAUUGAUAUGCUGCUAUUCGAAUAAUAAGAAUUCUUUAAUAUCUAUGAAAAUAUGCUAUUUUGCUUUUUUAUUUUUAAAAAAUUUGCCGAAAAAUGAGUUGCAAAGUCUUAAUUUAAGUGAGUUUACAGUACCAUUUUUAAAUUUUAUGAAUGCUAAAUUAGAACAGACAAAAAAAUAUAUAAAAAAAAUAUUUAUGAUGUUUUUAGAUGUACAUACUGUAGAUCAUAUUGUUGAACAGUUAUUAAAAGGUAUCCCAGAUAAACACACGUCUAUAAUUGUAGAACAGCAAAUAAGAAAUAUUUUAAAGUAUCAUAAUCCAAACUGUUUGCAAAAAAAAUUCCCUUCUUUUCAUGAUUUUAA